rnacentral:lncRNA from 1 species
GGGGGAGCUCUGAUACAGGACACAUUCUGAAAUGCAGAUACAAAAACAAACUCGCCGAGAGAGCUGCUGGACUGUGGUGGACAUUUAAACCCUCAUAUUAAAGUCUGAAAUGUGCUGAAUCUGGACGUUCUGCAGGAGGAGAGAUAGAUAGAGAGAGAGAGAGAGCGAGCGGGGGAAAUGGACGGGUUUUAUGGAGCUGAUCCGGAACAGAGAGUCUCUCGGCUGUGAUGUGGAGCCACUCGUAAGCUUCAUUAGUUUUUAGCUCAUUAAUCUGCUCUCUCAUAACCUGUAACACACAAUUCAGCUCAGUUCAUUACACCACUCGGCUCACGCCAGAGGCCUUCAUUCAUAUAAACAUCACAUUUGAGGAGGAUUGUGGGAAAACAAACAAGGAAAUGGCAAAUCCUCUUCAUUUCUUUUAUUUUGUUGACUGAAUAUUUAUUGGACUUUUGAAUAAACAUAACAGAAUUGCAC